rnacentral:rRNA from 1 species
GACGAACGCUGGCGGCGUGCCUAAUACAUGCAAGUUGAGCGCUGAAGGUUGGUACUUGUACCAACUGGAUGAGCAGCGCACGGGUGAGUAACGCGUGGGGAAUCUGCCUUUGAGCGGGGGACAACAUUUGGAAACGAAUGCUAAUACCGCAUAAAAACUUUAAACACAAGUUUUAAGUUUGAAAGAUGCAAUUGCAUCACUCAAAGAUGAUCUCGCGUUGUAUUAGCUAGUUGGUGAGGUAAAGGCUCACCAAGGCGAAGAUUCAGAGCCGACCUGAGAGGGUGAUCGGCCACAUUGGGACGGGGACACGGCCCAAGACCCUUCGGGAGGCAGCAAGAGGGAAACUUCGGAAAGGGGCGGAAGUCUUAACGAGCAACGCCGCGGGAGUGAAGAAGGGUGUCGGGUCGGAAAACUCUGUUGGUAGAGAAGAACGUUGGUGAGAGUGGAAAGCUCAUCAAGUGACGGUAACUACCCAGAAAGGGACGGCUAACUACGUG